rnacentral:rRNA from 1 species
GCGUGCGUGAAGAAGGCCUUAGGGUUGUAAAGCGCUUUCAACGGGGAAGAUGAUGACGGUACCCGUAGAAGAAGCCCCGGCUAACUCCGUGCCAGCAGCCGCGGUAAUACGGAGGGGGCUAGCGUUGUUCGGAAUUACUGGGCGUAAAGGGCGCGUAGGCGGAAUUGCAAGUCAGAGGUGAAAGCCCCGGGCUCAACCUGGGAACUGCCUUUGAAACUGCAAUUCUUGAGGCCGGUAGAGGAUAGCGGAAUUCCCAGUGUAGAGGUGAAAUUCGU